UCUGACUCUCUCCCAUGUGCUGUAUAUGUGACGCGUCAGUGCCUUGUGAAACACAAGGAAUAUUUGCUGUCACCAUGCUAGCCAUUUCCUCUGAUGAAGCUGUGUCACUGCACGGAUCAAGAAGGAUGGUGGUGUUCUGGGAAUACUGACGGGAGAGAAUCUAGAAUGGUCUCAUUGCGCGAUACGAUCCGUGAAAAGCUGCAGCCAGGGUGGGUGGCAGGCAGUGACGACAGCGAAGGGCGAUUGGUGUCUGGUCAACAAGCGAAGACAACUCAUGGAAAGGAAGCAAAUUACCUCUGCUGCUUCUUGGCCCACUUCAAUGCAAGUCAUGACUCCUUGCUUCUCGACAUUACCCAAGAUCAGCUUUUCAAAGAGGCAUUCUCGUGCCUGGGC